rnacentral:rRNA from 1 species
UACGAGGGGUGCAAGCGUUGCUCGGAAUUAUUGGGCGUAAAGGGUAGGUAGGUGGUCUCAUUUGUCUGGGGUGAAAUCCCGGGGCUUAACCCCGGAAGUGCCCCAGAAACGGUGAGACUCGAGUCCUGGAGAGGGUCGUGGAAUUCCCGGUGUAGCGGUGAAAUGCGUAGAGAUCGGGAGGAACACCAGCGGCGAAGGCGGCGACCUGGACAAGUACUGACACUCAACUACGAAAGCGUGGGGAGCAAACAGG